GUAAAACCCUUUCACCUGUAAAGGGUUAAGAAGCUAAGAUAACCUUGAUGGCACCUGACCAAAAUGACCAAUGAGGAGAUAUGAUACUUUCAAAUCGGGGGAGGGGAGGAAACAAAGGUUUCGUCUAUCUGUGUGAUGCUUUUGCCGGGAACAGAUCAGGAAUGGAGUCUCAGAACUUCUGUUAGUUAGAGCUUUGAGGCAUUCCUCUGUUUACAACGAUGUAUCAGCUUACUGUUGAAAACUGGCAGUAUUUCAUCAUAAUGUCAAGAACGUGUUGCACCGUCACCAUCCAUGAUUCCCAGUAUCUAUAUGUGCUGCACUUAAAAACUUGAUUUUCAAGUAGUUCCAGUUUCUCACUUCAUUCCAUCAUCAUCAGAUGCCAAGAAAAGCACCAAACUGAAGCAUCAGGAAGUACAUGAUUUAACAAAGCUGAAAAAUUAUUGAAAGUUCCUAAAUAAACAGCUAAAAUCACCAACACUAAAUCAUU